rnacentral:lncRNA from 1 species
AUUAUGUUCACUUCAAAUAAUCAAGAAAUGCAACUACUGAAACUUUCAUGAUUAAUACUUUUGGGAAAGCUACAAAUAUGAAUCUUGUAAAGAGUGACUGGUCAUCCUAGUUAUUACUUUGUAAAACUAAGCUAGUAGCACAAUCAUUAUGAGCAUGUCUUUUCCCUCUUUUAUCCACGUGAUCGUUUCUUAUUCUAGUGGUGCCACAAUGUCAGAACUUCCACAUCCUUUAGCCAUAUAAUGAUGAUUACUAUGAGAGCACAGCAACACAAAUAGUGUUCUGUAGUAGGAAUACACUUUCUCUGAAAACCUUCGGCACUUAAGCAGAUAAAUUCAAGCUAAUAGAUUGUCAUCAACAAGAUGUAAUUUACAUGGAACAUCAUUAUUAAGCCAAUUGCUGGAUACAAUGCUUGCCACUUGGCUUGCUUUCUCCCUACAAACCUAUAUGAGAAACUUUUCACUAAAGAACUAACCUUAUACCUGGCAGGAAGAAAACG